rfam:Pan troglodytes isolate Yerkes chimp pedigree #C0471 (Clint) chromosome 10, whole genome shotgun sequence.
GCUGGGGGUGGUGGUGCACGCCUGUAGUCCCAGCUACUCAGGAGGCUGAGACAAGAGGAUCACUUGAGCCCAGGAGUUCAAAGCUGCAGUCAGCUAUGAUGGUGCCACUGCACUCAAGCCUGGGCGACAGAGUGAGAGCCUGUCUCAA